rnacentral:rRNA from 1 species
GAUGAACGCUGGCGGCGUGCCUAAUACAUGCAAGUCGAGCGAACGGACGAGAAGCUUGCUUCGCUGCUGUUAGCGGCGGGCGGGUGAGUAACACGUGGAUAACCUACCUAUAAGGCUGGGAUAAGUUCGGGAAACCGGAUCUAAUACCCGUUAAUAUUUUGAACCUCAUGGUUCAUAAGUGAAAGACGGUCUUGCUGUCACUUAUAGAUGGAUCCGCGCUGCAUUAGCUAGUUGGUAAGGUAACGGCUUACCAAGGCAACGAUGCAUAGCUGACCUGAGAGGGUGAUCAGCCACACUGGAACUGAGACACGGUCCAGACUCCUACGGGAGGCAGCAGUAGGGAAUAUUGCGCAAUGGGCGAAAGCCUGACGCAGCAACGCCGCGUGUGUGAUGAAGGUCUUCGGAUCGUAAAACUCUGUUAGUAGGGAAGAACAGAAGUAUGAGUAACUGUGCAUAUCUUGACGGUACCUAAUCAGAAAGCAACGGCUAACUACGUG